rnacentral:rRNA from 1 species
AUGCCGCCGCCGCCGCAGCGUCCAGUCCCCUCCCCCGCUGGGCGGGCUAACCUAUUUUCCUGUCCCCCUGCUCCCCCUCCUAACCGCCACAAUCCCAAGAACCGCGCCGUCCCUCUACCUCCCCUCCCACCUCGCCGCCGCCACCCCGAGAACCAUCACGAGCAAUCUUUCCAAGAACAAGCGGCAACGCCGGCUCCAAGAACCACCCACACCAACCCCGCCUUCUGCGCACCCCACCUGCGUACCUCCUACCGGAAACCCGUGCCCCCAGCCGCAGCCACAGGCAAGGGCGAGGCCCUCCUCACAACCGACCCCACAGACGCCGCCGCCGGGCGCUCUGUCGUCGUAGGCCCUUCCGGUGUUACCUUCCGUCUCCCCGGUGCUCCGUUCGACUUUCAGUUCAGCUACUCCGAGGCGCCCCGCGCCGCGCCGCUGGCCAUCCGGGAACCCCCGUUCCUGCCCUUCGCCCCGUCGACCAUGCCGCGGCCGUGGACCGGAAAGGCACCUCUGCUGACCAAGGAAGAGAAGGCCCGGCGAAGGGGCGUGCGGCUGCACACGCCGCUUGGCCAGGAGCCGCCACGAACGGCGAGUCCGCACGGGAUCAUGAUGGAGGUGAGGGGGAGGAGGCAGCUGGACUUGGCCAGGGUGAGCCCCGGCGACGGAAGGAGCCGGGAGGAGGUUCUAGGGGAGCCGCUCACCUCAGCCGAGGUGCGUGAGCUCGUCAAGCCUCAUAUGUCGCAUAACCGGCAACUCAACAUUGGAAGGGAUGGGUUGACCCACAACAUGUUGGAGAUGAUACAUUGCCAUUGGAGGCGCCAGGAGGUCUGCAAAGUGAGAUCUCGAGGAGUACCGACUGUUGAUAUGAACAACCUUUGUUAUCACCUUGAGGAGAAAUCACGUGGAAAGGUCAUUAAACGAGUAGGUGGAGUUGUUUUCUUGUACCGUGGACGAAAUUACAACCCACACACCCGUCCUCGUUAUCCAUUAAUGCUUUGGAAGCCAGCCACUCCUGUUUAUCCAAAACUCAUCCAGCAAGCUCCUGAAGGACUUACAGUGGAAGAAGCAGCUGAAAUGAGAAGGAGAGGACAGAUUCUACUGCCAAUUUUAAAGUUAGGUAUGAUUUGUUGUGUUGGGUUGAAGAUUCAAAUUUUACACCAUCGUUCAGGGUUUCUUCGACAUUUGAACUGA